rnacentral:rRNA from 1 species
CCUACGGGUUGCAGCAGUGGGGAAUAUUGGACAAUGGGCGAAAGCCUGAUCCAGCAAUGCCGCGUGUGUGAAGAAGGUCUUCGGAUUGUAAAGCUCUUUCACCGGUGAAGAUAACGACGGUAACCGGAGAAGAAGCCCCGGCUAACUUCGUGCCAGCAGCCGCGGUAAUACGAAGGGGGCUAGCGUUGUUCGGAAUUACUGGGCGUAAAGCGCGCGUAGGCGGAUAGAUAAGUCAGAGGUGAAAUCCCGGGGCUCAACCCCGGAAUUGCCUUUGAUACUGUUUAUCUUGAGUGCAGAAGAGGUAAGUGGAAUUCCGAGUGUAGAGGUGAAAUUCGUAGAUAUUCGGAGGAACACCAGUGGCGAAGGCGGCUUACUGGUCUGCAACUGACGCUGAGGCGCGAAAGCGUGGGGAGCAAACAGGAUUAGAUACCCGUGUAGUC